CGAAAGCCUGACGCAGCGACGCCGCGUGUGGGAGGACGGCCUUCGGGUUGUAAACCACUUUUCUCAGGGAAGAAGCCCUGACGGUACCUGAGGAAUCAGCCUCGGCUAACUCCGUGCCAGCAGCCGCGGUAAUACGGAGGAGGCAAGCGUUAUCCGGAAUUAUUGGGCGUAAAGCGUCCGCAGGGGGCACAUCAAGUCUGCUGUUAAAGGCUGGAGCUUAACUCCGGUAGAGCAGUGGAAACUGGUGUGCUCGAGGGCGACAGGGGUAGAGGGAAUUCCCAGUGUAGCGGUGAAAUGCGUAGAGAUUGGGAAGAACACCGGUGGCGAAAGCGCUCUACUGGGUCGCACCUGACCCUCAGGGACGAAAGCUAAGGUAGCG
rnacentral:rRNA from 1 species